rnacentral:pre_miRNA from 1 species
GGGGGAUUGCAGGAUCUUGGGCUGUGUCCCUGGCGCCCUGUACUCCCGGGCCUGCGCUGUUGGAAUUGCACUCUGGCCACGCAGCUCCCU